UUCAUUUACGUGACUAUCCCUUUUGACUCUUUAUCCCCUCCAUUUAUUUCAUCCCCAACCAUCUUCUCUGCUUCCACCUAGCUACUCAAUCAAAAACCCUAAUCCCCAAUUCCCAUUUUCACCCAAAAUUCAAGAUAACAAACCACUAGAACAAUGUCUAAACGAUAGGUAAGUCCAGCACUCCAUCGGAGAAAAGGAAGCUUAAAUCAAUUCAACAUAAUAAACCGUUUAUUCGAGAUCCAUUUCGAGGUGUUGGAAUGGUGGUAAUCCGGUUGUUGUUGUUUCUUGUGUUGGUGAUAGUCCAGCUAAGGUUGAAUUGAAUGAUGAUUUGAGGAGGAGGCGGUCUAUUUCGGUUGCUUGGCAUCAGAUUAGUGACUCUGAGAUUGUGUUCAAAGUUGAUCUCAACUAGAGGUGGCAAUCUUGACCCAAAGGCUUUCAAGUGGGUUAGUUUGGGUUGCUAUUAAAAUUAUAUGGGUUAAUUUGGGUAAGAUAUUUUAAUUAAACGGGUCACAACGGGUCAACUGAAAUUCCAUCUUGUUAUUUCUGGGUCAAAGCAGGUCGACAACUUUAAAGAAAUGGGUCGGAUUGAGUUUCGUACCAAGACGGGUUUUGGCACGGGGCGGGUUUUGGAUCGGAACGGGUCCGUUCGGAUCGGGUUCGGGCCGACACAGGUUUCCGCACGGGACGGGUUUUGGAUCGCAACGGGUUUUAGGCCGACACGAGUUUCCGCAAGGGUCGGGUUUCGGAUCGCAACGGGUUUCGCAUUGUAUAGCCACACCUAACGGUUUUAGAAACUUUAACUAUGCUGCAAUGUUGAGGCUGCCCAAGAGUUUAACCCAUGUAGAGAAAGUAGAACAAGCUGAGCUCAUCAUACUUGAACUUUGAUUAUGUGAUUAGUUUCGAAUAAACUGUAGAAAUACAAUGCAAAAAAAAGUAUUCAGGUCACGUGAUUAGUUUUUAAUAAUACAAGUUGGAAAUUUAUUUGCUCUUUUGUUUCGGUUUUUUCGGUUUCGUUUCGAAUCGGUUUCAACAAUUUUCAGUUUUUUUUUUUUUCGUUUUGGUUUCGGUUUAUUGUUUCCGUUUGGUCGGUUCAUUCGGUUUCGUUUUGGUUAAGUUUUGAUAUUUAGCUUCGUUUUAAUCGGUUUUUUUGUUUCGUUUCGGAUCGGUUUUGAUCUUUUUAGUUUUUUAUUUCGUUUCAGUUAGGUCUUUUUGUCCGUUUCAACCCGAACCCGUGCUGACCCACACCCAAUUCGCCCCGAACCAAAACAACCUUUUUGUGUAAUUGACCCGUUUUGACCCGACCCAUUUUGACCCUACCCAUUUUGACCCGUGACCCGACCCGACCCGUUUGUCAGGUCUAAUCUCAACACAAACAUCAAGCUGGUAAUACAAACCAAAAUCAUGCCACUUCACUUUUUAUCUAACAAAAUAAAAUAGGUCUUCAUGUUUUAUAAAUCAUAAAUAUAAUAUUGUUUUAUGAACUUAUAUACUUAUCAAGGAGACAAACAAGGGAGCCUAGUAAAUCUAGCUGUACUGCUGACAGUAGCAGCAUUACGUUUGCUUCUGUCCCGCAAUCGAUCUGUUCAUAUAAUCAGGCUGCAGUAAUGGAAGAGAAUUUGGAUGAAUAGAACGAACUUUCAUCGAGGAGCAAUGAAUUACUGUUUUUGCUUCUGUCCCGCAAUCGAUCUGUUCGUAUAAUCAGGCUGCGGUAAUGGAAGCGAAUUUGGAUGAAUAGAACGAACUUGCAUCGAGGAUCAAUGAAUUACUGUUCGAUGUAGCCGCUCAAUCUCCAACCCACUAUGGAUGUUACGUGAUGCUGGUGGGAGAGAACCCACUGCCUCUGAAGAAGAGAAACAACUUGCUAAUGAGUGUUCAGCAGAAGCAGAACUGAGUGCAAAAGUGAAUCAGAUUAUAAGUAUAAUUAUAGAUCUGUGGGAAAAUGAGCCUGUUCUUCGUCCAGCUGCCAUGGCAAAAUAAUGAUAUAAAAAUAUAUUAAUAGAUACAGAGAUGGAGACUUGUCAACAGGAUUAGUCAAUAAUACUUAAAAGGAGGCUUGCUGAUGAGAUUGAAAGACAGAGGAUGAAAUGCUUCCCAUGACCGAAAAAUAGGUCAUGAAGAAGCAACAACGGGUGUAGGGUAUCAUAUUUAUUUUGAUACUGACAGGGACUUAAAGCUCGUUAACUUGCAAGAAAAAAAGAGUGUAGCUGGCUAGUGAAGAAAUGUAGCUGGCUAGUGAAGAAAUGUCGAAUUACUUGCAGCAUCAACCAUUUGUAGCCAUAGAUGGUGAAGGUGGGCUAAAAAGACCUGCUGAAAAUUUUCUCUCAGAUGCAAAGUUAUAUUUUAAAGGUAUUGACGAGGAAUGUAAACUUACCUUGCCGCGAAGCGCUCGUGCUUUUAUAUCUAUAUAUACAACUUAUAUAUGAAUCGUUUAAGGUUUGAGUUAUGUUUCCGCCCUGUAUUGUUGACUUCGCCGUAACGUGCGGGUUCCCCACAAGUUUGUUUGCAUGUCGACUUGUGUGAAAUAUCACCAAUUUAUGGUGGACUUUGUUUAUACACGCCCAAUUACUAAACUUUUGGUCU